GACGAACGCUGGCGGCGUGCUUAACACAUGCAAGUCGAACGGAAAGGCCCUGCUUUUGUGGGGUGCUCGAGUGGCGAACGGGUGAGUAACACGUGAGUAACCUGCCCUUGCCUCUGGGUUAACUUCACGACACUGGGGCUAAUACCGGAUAGGAGCUCCUGCUGCAUGGUGGGGGUUGGAAAGUUUCGGCGGUUGGGUAUGGACUCGCGGCGUAUCAGCUUGUUGGUGGGGUAGUGGCUUACCAAGGCUUUGACGGGUAGCCGGCCUGAGAGGGUGAGCGGCCACAUUGGGACUGAGAUACGGCCCAGACGCCUGCGGGAGGCAGCAGUGGGGAAUAUUGCACUAUGGGCGGAAGCCUGAUGCAGCAACGCCGCGUGCGGGAUGACGGCCUUCGGGUUGUAAACCGCUUUCGCCUGUGACGUAGCGUGGGUGACGGUAAUGGGUAAAGAAGCACCGGCUAACUACGUG
rnacentral:rRNA from 1 species